rnacentral:rRNA from 1 species
CCAGACUCCUACGGGAGGCAGCAGUGGGGAAUAUUGGACAAUGGGGGCAACCCUGAUCCAGCCAUGCCGCGUGUGUGAAGAAGGCCUUUUGGUUGUAAAGCACUUUAAGCAGGGAGGAGAGGCUAAUGGUUAAUACCCAUUAGAUUAGACGUUACCUGCAGAAUAAGCACCGGCUAACUCUGUGCCAGCAGCCGCGGUAAUACAGAGGGUGCGAGCGUUAAUCGGAAUUACUGGGCGUAAAGCGAGUGUAGGUGGCUCAUUAAGUCACAUGUGAAAUCCCCGGGCUUAACCUGGGAACUGCAUGUGAUACUGGUGGUGCUAGAAUAUGUGAGAGGGAAGUAGAAUUCCAGGUGUAGCGGUGAAAUGCGUAGAGAUCUGGAGGAAUACCGAUGGCGAAGGCAGCUUCCUGGCAUAAUACUGACACUGAGAUUCGAAAGCGUGGGUAGCAAACAGGAUUAGAUACCCUGGUAGUCCACGCCGUAAACGAUGUCUACUAGCCGUUGGGGUCCUUGAGACUUUAGUGGCGCAGUUAACGCGAUAAGUAGACCGCCUGGGGAGUACGGCCGCAAGGUUAAAACUCAAAUGAAUUGACGGGGGCCCGCACAAG